rnacentral:rRNA from 1 species
AGGACGAACGCUGGCGGCGUGCCUAACACAUGCAAGUCGAACGGGACCAGGGGCAACUCUGGUUCAGUGGCGGACGGGUGCGUAACACGUGAGGAACAUGACCUUCGGCGGGGGAUAGCCGGCCCAACGGCCGGGUAAUACCGCGUACGACCACAUGGGGACAUCCCUGAGUGGUGAAAGCAGCAAUGCGCCGAUGGAGUGCCUCGCGGCCUAUCAGCUAGUUGGUGAGGUAACGGCCACCAAGGCGACGACGGGUA